AUGUGGAGGCUACUGCAAUCGUGCUGUCGCUGCUGGUGGAUUUUCUCUCUCGUUUUGCCAGCCUUCGUGCUCCUCUGGGCCGAGUGUCAUCCUGCAUCCAUUGGGACACUGCAGACAGGUUGGCAGUCCAUAACAGAGGGCCCAACAAACACGCUGACAGGAAGCCAAGCCGAGUCCCAAGCCCCUAUCCAAGGCCUUCGUGGAGCCACGGCCGACGGGACACGACACAGGAGAGCAGCCACUGAGGAGACCUACUGGGCCUACUCAGGUAAUGAGCUUUUUAUAUAUUUCUGUAUGACUGAAUGUGUUGACCUGAAUAGCAACGGCCAGUUGCUGGCUGUAUCUUACGGCUGACAGCGGAGCCAUCUCACUGUCAUUACUGUAAUCUAACUGGUUUCGCAGGUUGGCAAUAUUCUAUGUUUUUUUUUAACAAGUCCCAUGAAAAGACCUAAACCAACAAUAAAUCUACUAACAAGUAUUGAUUGUGUAUCCAAAGCCUGACAUAUUUUAUACCUCUCCCCUAUAGAGCUCCAUUGUUAUCAAAAAAAUAUUAAAAACCAUGGACACACAAAUACCGUAUCAAUUCCACACUUGCUGGAAAUGCUCACUACAGCACCAAAUCUGCAUUCAUCUGCUGCUGAAAAUACUCCCCAACAAAUGCACUCUUUCUUUCUGUUUGAGUAAUGUCUUUGAGACAUUUUUUAGGUACAUAAUGUGAUGGGUGGGAAAUGGGAUUUAUUGACAGUAAGAAAAUGUAGGAAAAUUGAAAUUUUAUUCUUUAAUUUGAGUUAAAUAUUCAUAAGCGUACAUAGCAGUUGCUAUUUAAUGGAAACAUUUGUCAUGAUAUUAAGGCAUAAGUAUUCAACCUUGAGAGUGUAAGGUUGAAAACUAGAUCAGCAGGGAACAUCUGGAUGGGGAGGGUUGAUGACAUUAUUGUCACAUUAUUUACUAGUACUGCACCAUUCUAUCAUUGAGUAAAGUGACUUAUUUUAUGGAUAUUUCAUUUUAUAUUCAAUGUAUAACAAUAACAGUAGAGCAAGACUAAACUUUCUAAUGGAGACACAUUUUCUAAGCUACCAUGAAACCUGAUAUGGUCUGCAAUUGUCCAGAAAUAUCAGCCAUGUAGAUGUGUAAAUAUGAAGCUAGCUUGCCAACCUGCAAAGGAAGAGCGGUUAUAGAUAAUGGAUGGGUUUAUGUCCAGUGCAAUCAGUCUUAGUAAAAAUCUUCACAGUUAGAGGCAUAAGCCAGAUUGUUUAGAUUUACACUGAAAGUACCACAUUUUUCAUAAACUGGAAAAUAUUAUUUUCUUUAUCUACAUUUACUUCCAGUGACAAUUGUUCUGAUACUGCUUUAUUUUGGAGGGUUUUGGGUGUGUCUCAUCUCUAAAACCACCAUGUUAGCGGGUUAAAAUGAGAAGUGAUUAGUCAAAAUAAAAUGAUCAAAAUGCAAUAUUUUGAUUGAAGACGUGUCACACAGUGUGAUGAACAAGUGUUCUGUUAAGCAGCAGUCUCCACUGAUAAACACAGUCUCUUUAUUGGACCUUGCACAGUAGUCUGUCAAAUAAAAGUCUGUCACAGACUGGGAUGCCUCCUCUGUGUAGUGUUGCUUGCAAGCAAAUUGACGAUGACAAGACUGACACUGCUUGACAAGACUUUUAGCUUGUCGCUGAAAGGGCCCUGACGUAAUAACUUUUACUUUGUUUUCCUCACAUCAGUUGCCCAAGGUUAAAUCUCAAUUUGGUAUAUAAUCUGUCUCCCCCCCCCACACACACACACACACACACACACACUUGUAGUUGCUCUCUAUUAUUUUUGGUAUAUUUCAGUGAAUCUCUCCUUUCACACACACACACACACACACACACACACACACACACACUUAUCCACAACAAGUCGCUGUAUGCUGGUGAUUGUUUUUUUUGUGUAUGUUUUAAUUAAAAAGAAUGUUUCUAUUCCGUGCCUCAUUAUCUUGACUCUCAUUUCUGAUUUGCCUCUCUGGACCUCACUAUUUCUGGUCUUAAACAUUUGUAGUUACAGCACCAGAGCAGCCAAUUAGCCUUUAAUGUCAACUAAGUUUGUCAGCCUGAGUGAUAUUUUACUCACUCAAUAUAGCCCACCCCUCCAUCCUCUUCCUCCAGCAUUUCUCUGGUGCAGACUGCUGAGAAUGUUAAAGGACCAUACCCAUAUUAUCAAAUGCUGUAGCUCUUAAGCUACACAUUUCAAGUUAAGCAUCCAUGUGCCAACCUGGUGCAACCUUGAACCGUUCAGAGGUGGAAAGGGGCCCUGGAUGACACCAUUUUUUUCCCCAUUUUUUAUUCAUUUGCCAAGACUUGACACUUUCUUGAAAUUAGCGAUGUGUUGUUUGGCUCCUUUAAGUGAACAAUGGGAACCGGCUC
ensembl:lncRNA